ACGCUCAUACCAACGGGAUCACGCCCGCUCUCGUCCGAUCGCGGAAGCUAAGCCCGUUUGGGCCCGUUCAGUACUGCCGUGGGUGACC